CUGUUGCUCCACAAGAAGACUGAGUAUUUGUGAGUUUAGUAUCUCCAGGGAGCACACACAGACCACUUUCCCAGGACAGCUGUGUGCAAGGCAGCUCCAAGCACAUGCAUUUCAAAAUCACCUGCUGUACCACUUUCACCCAUUAAGAAUCCUGCAUCCACUUGGUCUUGCAACCUCUGGGAUUCAAGAUGGUAAAAUCUUUGAGGCGAGGACUGUCUCUUAUAUGUUUGAGAAAUACCUCUUUGGACCUCACUGUGAAAAAUAAGCAGCACAGUAAAAGCAACUGAUUUCCAAAAUUUGAAUCUCAAUGUGUAAGGAAGAAAAAGUGUAACAAGUGACAGUGGCUGCGGCUAAAGGUGUGAAGUUUGCGAAGAGAGAGCAAGAAGCACGUGUUUGAUGUGGCUUUGACCUGUCUUAGACAGCUCUUAUUUCAGACCCUCAGUUCUGAAGCACACAGGGUAGGAAAGAAGAUGUAUGUUUACUCAAUGUUUUAACUCUACGGGCAGGACCAGCCUUUAGGAGGAAUUUGGCUUCAUCAUUUGUAUCUGUGCAGCAGGCUUAUUCCCCAAGCAUGGUAGGGCUACGCUUCUGUCUCUCGUGCUACAAAAUACUUCCUUUCCAGGGGUAACAUUUCUCUUACCCAAGUACAAGUCUAUCUAAGAAGGAUCAUCUACACAUUAUUAUUCUUUUUCCCCUCAGAAAGUGAGAGACUGUAAAAUUGCUUGUGUGACUUUCAAAACUUAUUGUGUUCUUCUGAGCAAUGGAUUAAGCACUGGCACUAUCAAUAGCAAGAGAUCAGAAGGUGCAGUCUCAUUUAUAUGAAACUUUACACCAAUAGAUGUGACUCUUGGCACUUUUCUCUAGCAGUAAAUUUCAUCUCAGCUAAGAGUGCAGCUGUUCUGCAAAGGAUGGAACUGCUAGUGUAAACAGUUAAAUUCUGUUUAACUGCUUAGUUUUUUAGCUGUAUACGAUACUUUCUUGCAGAUAUAAACAUAAAAGGAGAUAUACUUGCCUGAUGUUUGCAAAAAAAAAAAAAAAAAAAAAAAAAAAAAAAAAAAAAAAAAAAAAAAAAAAAAACAAGAAAAAUUUUAUAUGAUAUCUGUUGCCAAAGCAUGCAGAAAUCUCAUGUAUCACUAUGGAAGGGUAAGAAACAGACUGUUUCUAGAGCAAUAAAAGUUUAUUUUAUGUUCCA
rnacentral:lncRNA from 1 species